CAGAUGUUUUCCAAGUAAGACCACAAUGGUCUGAGAUAACUGCCAGAGCCCCAGAGUCAGCACAGUUACCCCUCCCUACUUCCUCCCUGCUUUGCUUUAAAAACCCCUCUUUGUGCCUAAUAAAGUGAGACCUUGACAAAGUGAGACAUUGCUUGGUCUCGUUCCUUCUUUCUCACCCAUUUAUUUUCAGGUUCUUGCCCACCUCCCCACGAAUAACUUGGUCCCUCAGGUCGGAGCAGGUGGUGCCCAACGUGCGGCUCGAGGUAUGGGCUUUUACCGAACGGAGUCCCCCAACACUGAAGAGAAUCAUCGGUAGCACGCACCGAGAAGACUGAGGGACCUGCAAGCGGCAGCCCUGCUCUCAAGAGCAGGCUGAUUCCUGGAAGAAAAUGAGGCCCGGUGACUGCCAGACCAUUUGGUGAGAUGCGUGGAACAGACGAAAACCGGACCUGAGACCUCGGAAGCAUAAUUACCUCCUCUCUCUCUCUCUCUCUCUCUCUCUCUCUCUCUCUCUCUCUCUCUCUCUCUCUCUCUCUCUCUCUCUGUCCUCUCAGGGGUCAUUCUCUAGAACAGGCAAGGCUUAAACCUAUUGUUUUUACAACAAGGAGGAAUUUGUGCAGCACUCAAAGAGGAAUGUUGCUUUUAUGCUCAUAAGACUGGCUUGGUAGAAGACAGCUUAGAUAGAGGGCAGAAAAGUCCUGAGGAACGUAAAUGACAGUGGGAACAGGCCAAGUCCUGGUAUAAAAAUUGGUUUUCCACCUCCCCUUGGCUUUCUACCCUGCUUCCAUCUCUCCUAGGACCAUUUGUGGGAUUGUUUCUGCUGCUGACUUUUGGGCCUUGGGCAUUCCAGAAAUUAACUCGAUUGAUCAAAACUCAAAUUGAUUCCAUAAUCAAAAAAACCUAUUUUCGUACACUAUCAUCAGCUUUUGGAAAAGGAACAGGGCUCCUUUGAGAAACCUGUUGAGGAUGGUGACAAUACCAAUUCUGAUCCCCCUAGACAAGGACUUGAUUUCACAAGACUAGAACAACAGAGGACCUGGUUCUCUCAAAUAUGGAGACAUCCAUGACGGGAAUACCGCGGUGCCACAAAGCGAUGCAGACCCUUCUCUUCGGCUGUAGGUUCCUCAACGAUGGGAUUAGCAUGGGGCUGCCUCUCAGAAGCCCACUCUCCUUGUCCAAUCUUGACAAUGUUUUUGAGUGCUGAGGACAGAUGCACCCCAUGUAGCCUAAGACAGAGGCCCUACCCACUUGUCACAUAGUAACAAGCCCAUCCCCAGGGUCCUGAGUGUGGGAGCCCACCACGUAGCCUAAGACAGACCCUCCAUAAAAAUAAUAAAAUAGGGGGAGAUUUUGGGAGCCAGCCUCGAGUCACAGCCAGCCUUGAGUCACAUCCUCUCACAGAGUUGUUUACGCCAUACCUCUAGUUGAGCCUUAUCUUGGCAAAAUAGGAAAUGGCUCAAAGGGCAGUCUAUUCCACUUACUUCAGGAACUGAUAUAACCAGAUGCCAGGAAUUGAGAUAAGCAGAUGUUUUCCAAGUAAGACCACAAUGGUCCGAGAUAACUGCCAGAGCCCCAGAGUCAGCACAGUUACCCCUCCCUACUUCCUCCCUGCUUUGCUUUAAAAACCCCUCUUUGUGCCUAAUAAAGUGAGACCUUGACAAAGUGA